rnacentral:rRNA from 1 species
GCGAACGGGUGAGUAACACGUGGGUGAUCUGCCCUGCACUUCGGGAUAAGCCUGGGAAACUGGGUCUAAUACCGGAUAUGACCACAGGCUGCAUGGCUUGUGGUGGAAAGGUUUACUGGUGCAGGAUGGGCCCGCGGCCUAUCAGCUUGUUGGUGGGGUAAUGGCCUACCAAGGCGACGACGGGUAGCCGACCUGAGAGGGUGACCGGCCACACUGGGACUGAGACACGGCCCAGACUCCUACGGGAGGCAGCAGUGGGGAAUAUUGCACAAUGGGCGAAAGCCUGAUGCAGCGACGCCGCGUGAGGGAUGAAGGCCUUCGGGUUGUAAACCUCUUUCAGCAGGGACGAAGCGCAAGUGACGGUACCUGCAGAAGAAGCACCGGCUAACUACGUGCCAGCAGCCGCGGUAAUACGUAGGGUGCGAGCGUUGUCCGGAAUUACUGGGCGUAAAGAGUUCGUAGGCGGUUUGUCGCGUCGUCUGUGAAAACCCAUCGCUCAACGAUGGGCCGGCAGGCGAUACGGGCAGACUUGAGUACUGCAGGGGAGACUGGAAUUCCUGGUGUAGCGGUGAAAUGCGCAGAUAUCAGGAGGAACACCGGUGGCGAAGGCGGGUCUCUGGGCAGUAACUGACGCUGAGGAACGAAAGCGUGGGUAGCAAACAGGAUUAGAUACCCUGGUAGUCCACGCCGUAAACGGUGGGCGCUAGGUGUG